UACAUUUUCAUUCAUAGAUAAUUUUUAGCAUAUUUCUCAAAACUUAACGGAAUGCUAGUAAAAUUUUCCUUAUAAAUGCUAGCAAAAUUUGCUAGUAUAAUAUAGCAAUUACGGUAAAUUAUAGCACUUUAUCUUUCCCAUCUAUAGCAGUUUGAACAAGAGGUAGGAGAUUCGAUGAUCAAUCCAUUCAGUGCAUUUCAUUUUUGUAACAUGACUGUUGUAUUAAGGUGAAACUGUUAACAGAACAGAAGCACUCUGGAAACGCAAUAGUGCAUUUAGACCUCAAUUUGACGGAACUGAAUCUAAUGGCUUAGUGUCAUGGAAGUAACAAGAACUCGAGAACGAUGUUUUUGUCAAAAAGGGGGCAUAAACCAUUCUCUCGUUUUAUCCAUACUUUGAUUUCUUUUGUUUUUCAUUUAAAUUAAAUCCAUAAUUUUUUGCAUGAUGUAUCGACUGAUCACUUCGCCCUUGACAGUACCCAACUUGAUGAUUAUAUAUCUGGUUGCUAAAACUAUCUAACAGUAAAGAGAGACAAAGCUGCACUAGAUCCCUUCCUGACUUAAACUAGUUCCGCUCAAAGUAAAAUUUUAAAACUUAAUUCUUGAUGAUUCAUUCAUUGAAGGUGUAUCCAGCUGAAUGCAAAUACAAAUAAACUUUUUAUAUCAAAUAUUCAGUGACUCUUCAUGAUAAAGUAUCAGUUUAUCAUAGUAAAGGACGACUAUGAAUGAAGAAAGUGCUACAUAAAUUUACCAUCCAAGAAACAAGAAAAAUUAAAAUUCAGUGUAAAGGUGAUAAGUAAGUAGAGAUAGAGCAACAUGCAAAAUCACGCAUGAGUACAAGAAGGCGCGACUAAGAGACUAGUCUGCUAAUCAUGUCCUUGUAAACAUGGGGCCACGGAUAUAGGGCUUUGGGUAUGGAGCCAUGAAGACGGGGCUCAGACAAUAGGGCCGUGGACAUGCGGCUCUAGGUACAAGGCUCAUUGAACACAAGGUAUGACGUUUGUGCAAAAGUUUGUUUGAAGUCUCAUUAUUGCAACUGUUAAAGGCUUUAGAAGACUCUUCUAAUGAAACGGGACCUUUUGCCUGACCCAAUUUUCUGAUCUCAGAACAACAUUUCUGCUAUCAAAGGAAAACAGAGAAAUCUCUUAAAAAUGGGUACUUAUGUAAGAAAAAUAAAGUUGGAAAACUAUUCAGAAUGGAUUUGACGAAUAUAAUUGCUAUACAGAUAGUGCAGAAGUCGAAUAAUGUUGACUUACAGAUAGCAAAAUUUUGCUGAAAUUACUGGUGCUUUGCAUCUCCACAUGAUUGAUAAAGAUGCUAUAAAAAUCCAUUUAAAUUCAAAGCAAGCGUUAAUUAUUUUGAAUAAAACAGGCCUUUUAGAAAUAAAUUUCUGUAUAGAGCUAGUGAAUUUUCCCAAUAAGAAAUCAUCAUGAAAUGUUGCAAUUAAUAUUCUAGAUAAAAUCCCGGGCAAAAUUGUUGGAGCAAAACGCAAAUUUUACAAUUUUAUAAUGUUGCCUCUGCUGUAAAAUUGAAUUUCCUCUUUCAUCUCACAUCUAUGUGGGAUUUGAAGUUCAAUCCCCUUCGGUUCAAAAACAUGCAUUUAACAUUGAAUCGGGGCGACGAAAAAGAAAUUUUUCAAAGGAAAGAGAAAACACCAGGUUUUUCAUAAAAAGUCUAAACUCUUUUGUCCGGGAUUGUAGCAAGGCAUAGAACGAUAUGGGGCACUCAAAAAUGCUUGGGUUCAUUCAAGUACCUUAACGCGCUUCCCUACAACUUUUAUUGUUCUGCUUUAUAUGUGUCUAAAAAUAAUCACCAAAACUGCUUUCAUCAGAAAAGAAAACUAAACCAUUCGGAUGACUUUUGACUGACAUCAUUAGCGAAGUAAGGGGAAUCAAUUUUUGAGGUGAAAUGAGCUUUGUCAAGAGAUAUUACCUCAAGAGAUAUAGCAAUGAUAAAUCUGCAUUUGAUCAAGGAUAUGCACGCGGCUGUUUUUAAGAAUCUAUCUAAAUAAUUGGCAGCCGUUUGCAUCAAACACACGGAAAGGAAGUAAGAAUAUAUUUCAUUUGAAAUAAUAUUUGAAGAAUUUCAAGAUUAUUAAUUGUUUGGAGUAAGCACAUUCAAUAGAAAUGCUGAAAACGAUUGCAUAUGCGUUGGGCAGGUGAUACACUGUUACGGAAGAACACUAAUGAAAAUUUCCUUUAUUUCCAAUUACGAAACGGCUCAUUCAUAUUCACGCCCAUAUGUGUUAUCAAAAGAAAGGGCCUUGUGAUGUCGCUCGUGAUGCACAAAAGCAAUGUCGUAUCGCGCAUUUAAUUGGCUGAGCAGCAAAUGACGUGUUUUCAAGAGUCUUUAAAUUCACUGCAGAAGCAAGCGACUAUUCCAGAAGAUAAGUGGACAAGGCUUUCCCUGGACUUCAAGCUGUCAUAUAAACUGCGCAAAGAAGAAAGCUAAUCAACAAAUUAGAAAUGGCAAGACAUCAUGUGCAUCUCCUCCUGCUUUUCAUUUCAAUUUUUGCAGUGUAUGUUGAAUGUUUCUUUACCCAUCAAAGAGAAGUCGAGGGUGAACAAAUGAUCAAAACGUACUGCAGAGAAGCCAAAAAUUUGUGCUCCGGAUUUCAAAAUAAUCGUGAGAUAAAACGUGUUGCAGCUGAAGACGAAAAGAUGGCACAGUAUAAGCGAGUGAUAAGCCUUUUGAGGAAGCUGAGUGGAACAAUAAAGAGGCAAAAACUGUAUGAAGAUGUAGCAGAGAAAAAUCUUGAAGAACUGGCCAGGAUGAAGACAAAAUAAGAUCAAUGGACAUCAAACUACAGCAUUUUAUCAUUAACAUAGAAUCGCCUGAUGACUACCGACUUUAAAAAUUUGCUCUUUCGUUAUACUGCAUAGCUAAAUAAAAAAGGUUAGCUAGAUUCAGCCUCAUCCUGUAAUCUUACAUGUGAUAUCAUGCUGUCUUGAAAUAA